CCUACGGGUGGCUGCAGUCGAGAAUCUUCCGCAAUGGGCGAAAGCCUGACGGAGCGACGCCGCGUGGAGGACGAAGGCCUUCGGGUUGUAAACUCCUGUCACGAGUUAAGAAGGUGCUGCCACGAACAGUGGUAGUAUUUGACGUAAGCUCGAGAGGAAGCACUGGCUAACUCUGUGCCAGCAGCCGCGGUAAUACAGAGAGUGCAAACGUUGUUCGGAAUUACUGGGCUUAAAGCGCACGUAGGCUGCAUCGUAAGUGUCAAGUGAAAUCCCACGGCUUACCCGUGGAACUGCUUGGCAUACUGCGGAGCUAGAGUGUGGUAGGGGAGAGCGGAACUCCUGGUGGAGCGGUGAAAUGCGUAGAUAUCAGGAGGAACACCGGUGGCGAAGGCGGCUCUCUGGUCCACAACUGACGCUGAGGUGCGAAAGCUAGGGGAGCAAACGGGAUUAGAUACCCUUGUAGUC
rnacentral:rRNA from 1 species